AGCUCGUGUCGUGAGAUGUUGGGUUAAGUCCCGCAACGAGCGCAACCCUUGUCAUUAGUUGCUACAUUCAGUUGGGCACUCUAAUGAGACUGCCGGUGACAAGCCGGAGGAAGGUGGGGAUGACGUCAAGUCCUCAUGGCCCUUAUAGGUGGGGCUACACACGUCAUACAAUGGCUGGUACAAAGGGUUGCCAACCCGCGAGGGGGAGCCAAUCCCAUAAAGCCAGUCGUAGUCCGGAUCGUAGUCUGCAACUCGACUACGUGAAGUCGGAAUCGCUAGUAAUCGUGGAUCAGAAUGUCACGGUGAAUACGUUCCCGGGUCUU
rnacentral:rRNA from 1 species